AUUGAACGCUGGCGGCAUGCCUUACACAUGCAAGUCGAACGGCAGCAGGGAGCAAUCCUGGUGGCGAGUGGCGAACGGGUGAGUAAUAUAUCGGAACGUGCCCAGUAGUGGGGGAUAGCCCGGCGAAAGCCGGAUUAAUACCGCAUACGACCUGUGGGUGAAAGCGGGGGAUCGCAAGACCUCGCGCUAUUGGAGCGGCCGAUAUCAGAUUAGCUAGUUGGUGGGGUAAAGGCCCACCAAGGCGACGAUCUGUAGCUGGUCUGAGAGGACGACCAGCCACACUGGGACUGAGACACGGCCCAGACUCCUACGGGAGGCAGCAGUGGGGAAUUUUGGACAAUGGGCGCAAGCCUGAUCCAGCCAUGCCGCGUGUGGGAAGAAGGCCUUCGGGUUGUAAACCACUUUAGUCAGGGAAGAAACGGCUCUUACUAAUAUUAGGGGCUAAUGACGGUACCUGAAGAAUAAGCACCGGCUAACUACGUGCCAGCAGCCGCGGUAAUACGUAGGGUGCAAGCGUAAAUCGGAAUUACUGGGCGUAAAGCGUGCGCAGGCG
rnacentral:rRNA from 1 species